rnacentral:rRNA from 1 species
AGUGAACGCUGGCGGCAGGCCUAACACAUGCAAGUCGAACGGCAGCACAGUAAGAGCUUGCUCUUACGGGUGGCGAGUGGCGGACGGGUGAGGAAUACAUCGGGAUCUACUUUUUCGUGGGGGAUAACGUAGGGAAACUUACGCUAAUACCGCAUACGACCUACGGGUGAAAGCAGGGGAUCUUCGGACCUUGCGCGAUUGAAUGAGCCGAUGUCGGAUUAGCUAGUUGGCGGGGUAAAGGCCCACCAAGGCGACGAUCCGUAGCUGGUCUGAGAGGAUGAUCAGCCACACUGGAACUGAGACACGGUCCAGACUCCUACGGGAGGCAGCAGUGGGGAAUAUUGGACAAUGGGCGCAAGCCUGAUCCAGCCAUACCGCGUGGGUGAAGAAGGCCUUCGGGUUGUAAAGCCCUUUUGUUGGGAAAGAAAAGCAGCAGGUUAAUACCCCGCUGUUCUGACGGUACCCAAAGAAUAAGCACCGGCUAACUUCGUG